ensembl:miRNA
CCUCCACGGCACUUGCUCCUCCAUGGUCUGAUUAUUGGGAAGAAAGCUCCUCCUUUUGCCUAGAGCAUUUACCUGUGAGUCAGCCUUGGCAAAGAGCAGCAGAAGGAAGUAGAGG